GACGAACGCUGGCGGCGUGCUUAACACAUGCAAGUCGAACGGAGUUACGUAUGAAGUAUUUCGGUACGGACUAUGUAACUUAGUGGCGAACGGGUGAGUAACACGUGGGCAACCUGCCCUUAACCGGGGGAUAACAUUGUGAAAACAGUGCUAAUACCGCAUAACAGAGUAUCGGGCAUCCGAUAUUUUUAAAAGGAGCAAUCCGGUUUAGGAUGGGCCCGCGUCCAAUUAGCUAGUUGGUGAGGUAACGGCUCACCAAGGCUACGAUUGGUAGCCGAACUGAGAGGUUGAUCGGCCACAUUGGGACUGAGACACGGCCCAGACUCCUACGGGAGGCAGCAGUGGGGAAUAUUGGGCAAUGGGCGAAAGCCUGACCCAGCGACGCCGCGUGAAGGAUGAAGGUCUUCGGAUUGUAAACUUCUUUGAUCAGGGAAGAAAGAAAUGACGGUACCUGAAGAACAAGCCACGGCUAACUACGUGCCAGCAGCCGCGGUAAGAUCACGUGUA
rnacentral:rRNA from 1 species